rnacentral:misc_RNA from 1 species
GUGAAUCAUCAAAUUUUUGAACGCAAAUUGCACUCCCUGGUAUUCCGGGGAGCAUGCCUGUUUGAGGGUCGUUAGAAUAAUAAAACGAUGGGUCGCUAUUUUUUUUAAUGGUGAUGGCUCCCGCCUUGAGGCGUCAUUCAAAUGUUAAUUAAUGUGUAAGUGGUUUGAAAUUCAUUCUUGCGGUACCAUU